GGAUUCAAUAAACUUAUUAUUGUUCAUUUACUUGCCUCUCCUGAUUGUGUUCUCGCAUGUGGGUGAAGAAACUUGGAACCAACAUGACAGAACACUCAGGCCAAACUGCAACCUCAGCGGACACAAUCAGAAGGGUUUUUUCUGAACAACACGCUCUAAUUCAGUCCCAGGACUCCGCGUUAAGAGAACUGGGUAACCGCCAAGCAGAAACAAAUCGUCAAUUAACAGAAUACUCUAACUUUCUACAGAGCUCAGUCCAGCAGGUUCCUAGCACUCCAUCCACUCCGUCUGUGGCUCCUGAUCCGCCGAAUCGUUCCAUGUUUUCGGAAGUCCAUCCAUCUGCACCAGAUAAAUUUUCAAGUGACGUAAAGAAGGUUAAAGGUUUCAUUCUCCAGUGUAAUAUAGUCUUUAACCAUUCACCGCAGAGCUUACCCCAUGAUGACGCUAAAAUUUCUUACAUGUUAUCCCUAUUGACGGGUUGAGCCUUAGAAUGGGCCGAAGCCCGGUUUACAUCAGCCUUGAAUUAUGGAUGUACAUUUCCAGAGUUUCUAAAAGAACUGAAACAAGUCUUUUGUCAAGAAACUGAAAAUACUUCAGCCUCCCGUGAUUUACAUGGGCUAAAGCAGGACCAGAAGAGUGUGUCCAACUUUGCUAUUGAUUUCAGAAUCAAGGCUGCUGCUUCUGGUUGGAAUGCCGCUGCACUUAAAAGCGCAUUUUUCCAUGCAUUAAAUGAACAAAUUAAAGAUGAACUGGCAACUCUAGAUGAACCAGAGACUCUCGACGAAUUCAUAAACCUAACAAUAAAAUUGGAUAACCGAAUCCGCUCCAGAGCAAGAGAGCGGUCUCGCCGGACUUUUUCUCCACGGGUUCCUCAGACUAGUAGUCAGUCUUUUGUUCAGCAUUCACCUACCUCUCCCUCAGCUCCAGAACCUGAACCAAUGCAACUGGGACACACACGCCCAACGCCAGAGGAACGCCAGAAGAGGAUGCGAUCUCGGCUCUGUCUCUACUGUGGUGAGCCUAACCAUGUUAUCGCUAAUUGUCCCAUUCGUUUAAACCCGCAGGUCCGGCAGUAAAGACGGGGAGACUGCCGGAGUCACAAUCAUCUAAAUCCCGUAUCAUCAUUCCUGUCACCCUGUUCAACAGUAAUAAGUCUUUUCCCCUGUCAGCCCUCAUUGAUUCGGGGUGCGAACAUAACCUCAUCAACUCUGAAAUAGUCAAGCAACUAGCCAUCGAGGUUGAACCACUCCCCAUCCCUCUCCGCAUUUCAGCCCUGGACGGAAAGAACCUGCCACAAAUCACCCAUCGUACCAAGUCUUUACACCUAUUAAUCUCAGGUAACCACACCGAAGAGAUUACCUUUUUUGUUUUUCCCGCAGCCAGCUCCUCCAUAGUUCUGGGUUUCGACUGGUUAUUUGCACACAAUCCUCAUAUCAAUUGGACCGAAGCCAAAAUAGAGUAUUGGUCCACCAAAUGUCACUCCACCUGCCUUCAUUCUGCUGUCCUGGUCAUGACUUCCCCGACAGAACAGACAGAGGUGGACCCACCAGACAUAUCCUCCAUUCCCAGUGAGUACCAUGAUUUAUUUACAGUCUUCAGUAAAGACAAAGCCUUAUCUCUACCACCUCACAGACCUUACGACUGCGCCAUUGACCUCCUGCCUGGUGCUCCAUUACCCAACAGCAGACUAUACAACAUUUCCAGAACCGAACUACAGACAAUGGAGAAUUACAUAAACAAAUAUCUCGCUGCUGGCAUAAUCCGCACUUCGUCUUCCCCAUUAGGCGCAGGGUUUUUCUUCGUGGGGAAGAAAGAUGGGUCCCUACGGCCCUGCAUAGACUACAGAGGAUUAAACCAGAUCACAAUAAAAAAUAAGCAUCCAUUACCACUGUUAUCUUCAGCUUUCGAGCGCGUUCAAGACGCAACCAUCUUCACCAAGCUAGACUUCAGAAACGCUUAUCACCUUCUCCGUAUUAGAGAAGGUGAUGAGUGGAAGACUGCAUUUAAGACCCCCAUGGGGCACUAUGAAUAUCUGGUCAUGCCCUUUGGAUUGUCUAACGCUCCUGCCUUCUUCCAGGCUCUUGUGAAUGAUGUCCUCAGAGACUUUAUUAACACAUUUUCGUGUUCGUCUGCCUAGACGACAUCCUGAUUUACUCCAAGUCCCUCGUUGAACACCAAAGACACGUCCGCUUGGUUCUCCAACGGCUCCUUGAGAACAAGCUGUGCGUAAAAGCAGAAAAAUGUGAGUUCCACCGUCAGUCAGUAACCUUCCUGGGAUUCGUUCUUGAGGGCAGACAGGUAAGAGCUUCAGAAGAUAAGAUAAAGGCAGUACUAGACUGGCCCAAACCCGAGACCCGAAAAUGACUACAACGUUUCUUGGGAUUUGCUAACUUCUAUCAAAGAUUCAUACGCAACUAUAGCCAAACUGCAUCUCCCUUAACAGCUUCUACCUCCACCAAGAAGGUGUUUGCCUGGAUCCCUCAAGCUGAUGCCGCUUUCGCCGAACUCAAGUCCCGGUUUGCACACGCACCCAUACUUAUCCAACCCGAUCCCAAGAAGCAGUUUGUGGUAGAGGUUGACACCUCCGAUACCAGGUUCGGAGCUGUGGUUUCCCAGACCACCGAUCAUGACCAUAAGCUUCACCCAUGUGCCUUUUUCUCCCAUAGACUCUUGCCGGCCGAAAGAAACUACAACGUGUUGGACAGGGAUCUCCUGGCAAUCAAGCUAGCUCUGGAAGAAUGGCGUCAUUGGCUGGAGGGAGCUGAGCACCCCAUUCUGGUCUGGACAGAUCACAAAAACCUAUCAUAUCUCCAAUCCGCUAAGAGGUGACCACCAUUCUAACCAUCAUCGAUCGUUUCUCCAAAGCCUGUCAUCUCAUUCCACUCCGUAAAUUGCCUACUUCUGCCCAAACUGCCAUGCUACUGAUUAAACAUGUGUUUAAACUUCAUGGAAUCCCUCAGGAGAUCCUCUCAGAUCGUGGUCCCCAGUUUGUCUCACAAGUCUGGCGCCAAUUCUGCUCCGUUCUGGAGGCCAAGGUGUCACUCACCUCCAGUUACCACCCCCAAACCAACGGACAGACAGAGCGUAUGAACCAGGAGCUAGAGGCUACUCUGCGGUGACCCCCACUAAUCCCGACGAUUGGGCCUAGUACCUUCCAUGGGUAGAGUAUGUGCACAACAGUCACAUCUCAGCAGCCAUAGGCAUCUUCCCGUUUGAAAUAGUACUUGGGUACCAACCACCACUCCUGUCCUCCGACGAAACGAACAUCUCGGUCACGUCAGUGCAGCACCACAUUCGUAGAAGCCGUAAAAUCUGGAAUGACACCAUUGCUGCUCUCAACAACACCUCUGCACUUAAUAAACGCCUGGCUGACCGCAGGAGAACUCCUGCUCCCACAUACUUCAUAGGCCAAAAGGUGUGGUUGUCUACACGUGACAUCCCUCUCAAGUCUGUCUAAAAAGUUGUCCCCUAAGUUCAUUGGUCCUUUCGACCAAUGAACCAAUGGACCAAUGAACCAAUGAAUGUCAUCAGUCAUUAGCCCCUCUGCUGUGCACCUUCGUCUUCCUCCGUCCCUGCGCAUUCACCCGACCUUUCAUGUGUCCCAGAUCAAACCUGUCCUGUCCAGCGAACGUUUUUGCUUACCUUGGUGAACCCGCUGUCUCCUCGUUGUUCCCCGAGUGUGCCGUCUGCCCCAGGAUUCUGCGUGAGCUGAAGCUGCCCAUUGUUCGUGAGUUCCUCCCUCGUGUGUCUCCCCACGACGCCAUUAGUUGUACCAGCUGGACGCCAUUCCUCGUGUGCUCGCCUUCCCCCGUCUUCGGUCCGUCUCCAGUGGACUCCCCUUCGUGACAUCACAGGUUAUACCUGCCCGUGCCCGAACCCAUUUAGAGAUUCUUUACAACUGGACCUAGUCAGACUCUGCUCAUUCAGCUAUUUACAAACCUGUCCGCCCUCCAACGAAGCCCUCUUAUCCAGCGCUCUGCCAGCAACCAUACUCAUCCACUCCAAUCAGACGAUCCGGUCAUCUGUUCCAGAACUCAUGCCCAUUCCCCUUUCCCCUGGAUUCAAUAAACUUAUUAUUGUUCAUUUACUUGCCUCUCCUGAUUGUGUUCUCGCAUGUGGGUUAAGAAACUUGGAACCAACAUGACAGCAACUGCAGUCACUUUUAGCCAUUAAUGCUGUCAAUUCAGUACAGUUGGAUGUUUAACUCAAAACAUCCAAAAUUUACUGAAUAGCUGCCAAAUACUGAAGGCUGAAUUUAUAUUGGAGAAAAGACUCACUCAGUUAAUGUCCGUCCAUCCAUUGUCUGUAUCCUCUUAUCUUUGAAAGAGACCCAUUCAAGUACUGAGCAGAGGAAUAGGACAAAUCAAUGCACGGGUGUGUCGGAACUUUCUCCAUAUGAAUAGUAAGAGAACUGAAGUUAUCGUUUUUGUGGGGUACAUUUGUAUUAAAGAGGAAUUAUGAAGAUUUAGCAUGAAGCUUCAGCUAUUACAGCUAGAAACCAUUGAUCAGGUGCAAAAUAAGAAUUCUGCUUCCAGCUGGAAGGAGUUUGUUUGUGUGUGCCAUUAAAAACGGCAUUAGUUGCUUUUUUUGUUUGUUUGUUUUGUUUUUUUUUUGUUUUUGUGAGUUGAGCUUCAGACAAGAGUUGUUAUACCGUAAUUAAGUAACUGUCAAAAAGUAAAGCAAAGCUAAGUUGCCCAACUUUAAUGCAUAGUCAAGUUUAAGGAGUAUUGCCAUUAUAAAUCCUCACAAACCUUUCAUUGUCUAUGCCCACAUGUGUGCACAGACACAUGCCAGCAGGAAACGCUGCUGCUUUUCUCUGUGAAAUAUCUGAAGUUUGCCACCAGAAACACUUUAUUUGCCCCUAAACCAAAGUACUGGUAAAUGAUGUCCAAGUGAACUGCAUUGCAAUUAGAAAGGGGCAAAAAUGUGAGCUCCAUUUGUGAAUUUGUUGACUUGACAGUGUUUAUGCGCAACACAGGAUACAUGGUCAUAUGACCUUUAAUUUUCUUUAGUAUGACUUACUGAAACUGUGGGGUACAUCUGUAUUAAGUACACCAAAUUGUUCCUAUGUUAGAAGCUUGUUGUUCAAUAAAAGAAAAGAACAAUUUGAAAAAUGUUCCAUUUGUUUUUAGCAACAUCUUUUUUUAAGUGAUUUGCAGAAACGAUAAUCUUGCUUUCCUUUGGAUAUACUUGAGAAAGCACUGAAGGUCCACAGCAUCAGAUAAAUAAAAUCAGUUCAAAUUCACUUUUAUGUUGGGUUGAACUCGAGACUUUUUAGAGACUUUUACUGAGGACAGUUUUGGAUUGUCUUUGCAAAAUUUAGUACGUUGGUGAAAUGUGAAUGUUGUAGCUAACUUUUUCUGCAGAUUUCAUCAGAAUUUUUUCAGCCUGUCCAACACUCAGUUCUCCAGAUUCAAUCACAGAAAAAAAAAAUUAAAAAGCAAACCAUUCCCAAAAGAAAGAUGCUGCCAUCAACACAUUUGACUGGAGGGAUAGUAAUAAUGAGGACUUACUCAGUAUGCAUAGUCCACACACGGAGAUGGAUUUCAUGGCCAAAUAGGCAAAUAUUUGCCUGAUCAUAUUAUAAAAUGUCUUGAUGUUCUCAGAAACACAAAUCAGUCAAAAAAAAUGUGGUUUGGAUUGUCAUUGUGUGUGUAGAUUAUCAUAUGUAGAUGUACUGUAUACAGAGAGGAAAAUGAAUUCACUUCAUUGUAAGAAGCUGUAGAAGAGCAGGAAUAGUGGGAGUGACAUACACGUUAUAAUAGUGGGAGUCACGUUAAGCCUCUGAGGCUUAACGUGACUCCAGGCCAUUUACAUGACGACCGAUUCAGGUGUAAGGAGGCAUAAUAGAUCAAAAAACACUAAAUGUUGUAGCAGCAAAACAUAAAAAACAAUAAACAUCAACCUACGAAACCAAAAUUAGGUAUAUAAACAUUCCAAAUUUUUACUUUGAAGUAGAUUUUGUGGGGUUUGGCGCACCUACAAAAGAAAUCCAAUUGUGAUCAUGAGGUCUACAAGUUUGUCAUAUGAAUAGAUUUGUAAAACUUAUAUUUGAUUAAAAUAUGACAGCAAUGUUUUUGACCUGAUCUGAAGGAUCUCUUGCCAGGGCAUUGUGAGUUUGUCUCUUUGUAUUCUCUUAACAUAAAAAAAAAAAAAAAAAAAAAAAAAACUUCAGCUUGGUCCUGAUUGAGCUAAAAGAAAUUCUCUACCAUCUAUGACUAAAUAUCGACAGUAAAGUAAAAAGAAACAAAUUGGAUAAAUGGGUCUGUGUUUAUCAGGAGAGAUGGCUGUAUUGAGCUGUGUGUCAUUAGGGUAAUCAUUCAUCCAAUGAUGGGACCUAAACUUGAGCCUUGUGGGACACCAUAUAUCAUAAUAUUCUGAUAAAUAUUAUCCUGUAUUUAGAAAAACAAAAUUAUUUUGUUGAGAUAUGAGUUGAACCACUUGAAUACUGUGGGAGCUAGUUUGGUUAAUCAAUCAACAACUGAGAACAAAGAUGUUCCUAGUUGAAUGCAAAUAUGUAGAUAUACCAUAAUAGCAGGAUGUACCACAGUUCUCACAAAUGUUUGCAAUUUUGCAGCAUCGAUAUUAGUACAACAAUUGAUCAUAUUGAAUCUGAUAAGGUUCUCUUUAAGAUUUUAGGUAUUUUUGCAUUGCAGUGUUGUCUGAAGCUUAGAAAAAAAAAUGAAAACAAACUUUUGUCGCCUUCACUUGGAGAUCCUUCACUAAGUUGAUUUGAGAUGAGAGUUGUCUAAAAGAUGUUAAAACAUCUGCAAGGAUGGAUGAGCCAUAUACUUUCCUCAGACAAUCGGGAAAUUUGAAAUAAGAUUAAAACGAUAAACGAAGAUUAAAACGAUAAACGAAUAAUAAACACAUAAAUCUAUGUGGUUCAUAAGAAAUCAUAUGAAGUAUGUAAGAGAUAAUUGCUGCCUGAGAGCCUUGGGGAAAAAAAAAAAAAAAAAAAAGCUGUUUACCUCCUGUGUAAGCAGGCUGAAAAUUCAUGUGGCAACUUCAAAGUGAACCACAAUUAGAGUGACUUCCUGACAGGACCCAUGAAUUAAUUAGAAGUCAGCCAAUGCAAGAUUAGUCCUGCAUGUGUUCAGAUCUGUUCGUGGUGAGAAACCUUUACCCACUAAACUCUGCUUCUUGUCCCGACAUCUUCUCUGUGGCAGGUGUGUGUCUUGGUUGUGAAAUAAAAAGGGACGAGAAGAAAAUUGAGUGAGACAAGGCGGUGGGUAAAAGAAAAACUGUGUGGUGUGUGUGUGUGUGUGUGUCCUGUAG